rnacentral:tRNA from 1 species
UCCCUGGUAGCUCAGAUGGUAAAGAAUCUGCUUGCAAUGCAGGAGACCUGGGUUCAAUCCCUGGGUUGGGAA